UAAAAGACAAGUUUUCCUUUCGACUUAUCAUCGAAUCUUCUUUUUAAGCUCAAGUGACUCCACAACUUACCUAACAGGUUAGUCUUUACUACUUUGCAAUAUUACGUCUUAAUGUUUCUGUUAUAGUCACAAUGUUUGAGAUUGUCCAUCUAUUGAUUUUCAGGCAAACGAAAGAGCCGAUCGAAGGAUUUUGUUGAUGAAUUGUGUGUGUAACCAGAAUUGUUUGAAAGUUGGAUUUGUGUGAAAACAUUAGUCCCUUGUUGAAGGAUUAGUGUGAAAACAUGUUUUACAAGUGAAGGGUACGACGUCGUUUUGCAGUUCAGGCUAACUUAUGUUACUUCUGAAUGGAGAGUUGCUUCCCCUGCCGCAGGUGAGUCUCUAGCUGCUCUCUGUGUUGGAUUCUUAAAAAAUAUUCGAAUCAAGAUACUAUAAAAAUAUUUAUUAAUUACAUUGUCUUUCCAAACUCAUAUUUAAUGUUAAUCGAUAGCGUGUUCGUGCUCGUAAAAUGAGGUACAUCUCUUCCACUCUGCAGAAGCCAUUGUGUAGAUGUUGCUAACUCAUAUACAUAAACUGCUCUUGAUUUUAGAUCGAGUUUUAGAAAUCAAGAUUUGAUGUUAAAUUUCAUUGGACAUAAAUAUUGUUUCUUUAACCAGUGGUAAUAAUAUGUUUUCUAUUUUAAGUCGCAGGCUGUUCCAUCAAAGAUGAAAGUUUGCAUUAUUUUUAUCAAGCAGUUUGAUCGAUUUUGAAUUAUUUAGAUUAUCACAAGGAUCACAUUUUAAUGUUCCUAUUAUUGUCACAGUGUUUGAGAUUGUCCAUCUACCGAUUUUCAGGUAAUUGAGAGAGCCAAUCAAAGGGGUCAGACGCCGCGUUAUCCCAUAAUUUCGUUUGUUGUAUUACCACAUUGUCGUAUGAAUUUAAGGAUUCUGAAACCUGUGUGUUGAAUUGUGUUUGUAACCAAAAUUGUUGUAAGUUGGAUUUGUGUGAAUUCCGAACCUGCGGGUAUUAUUGCCAUCCC
rnacentral:lncRNA from 1 species